AAGGAAAUAAAACGCAUCGACAAACCAGCAGCUGAUGAGUUGAUAAACGCUGAUUUACAAAGUGACUCAGACAUUCAGGCCCUGACUGAAGACGACCUGCGCGACCUGCUUCCAGGACCUGAGAAUAAGAGACGCAGAAGGGCCAUUUAUGACCUAAUCCACAGCCAGCCAAUGGAGCAGCAGAAGCUGGAGGCGUCUUUGACAGCCACGUCGUACAAGAUGGUUGUCGGCGGUAAAACGUUUGACACCCACCUGACGCUGAUGAAGAAAAUAAAGAAACAAGUUCAGAAUCAGAUCCAGAGUUGUGAAGACGAUGCAGACAACCACUCGGUCACUUUUGUCUUCUGUCCCAUCAGUUCAUGCGUUGCGUCAGACGUUGAGGCAGCCAUGUCUGAUGUUAAAGAUGAUAAACCUGUCAUUCUGGUGUUGAUGCACCACACACACCAAGUCAAGGCAACGUCAACUAUGAAAACAUGGGAUGUUCACGCCAAUGUUGUGUUGCAUGUCAACGUUUUCUACCAUGAGACACGUGGAUUACUGCAGUGUGAUGAAAAUGAUGCUGCUGUCACUGAGAUAGGAAACAAAUUACUGAAGCGCUUCAACCUGAAAAGUAGCAUAACCAGUGGAAAUGCCCACAUUGUGCCGGCUGAAGGUCGUGUGACUGACUAUGUACUUGGUUUUUACCAAAGGGCUAAACGUUAUAUAUGGUAAUAAGCAUAUUUAGCAGUGUUGGUAAUCGUAUUGCUUCAGCUGAUGCAGUGGAUAGCAUCAACUGAUUCAUUUAGACCAUUUGCGAACUGCAGAACACAUUAUUUUAUCCUUCUUAGUAAAAUCUAUCUCAGCAACUGAUCUAACGAUAAUUGUUUUUUCGUAGUCACGGAUUUAAAUAGCAAAAUGAGUUAUCUGCACAGUAAGUGUGUCACGGUGUGGUUCACUUCCUGUCUUAUUUUGUAGUUUUCUGCCACUCGUGUCCCCGGGUAACUUCACUUCCUGCCUUGUCUCGUCAUCCCCUGUGUUCGUCUAAUAGUUUCCACCUGUGUCCAAUCACCUGCACCUCCCUUGUGUAUUUAAGCCGUGUGUCUCUUGUGUCACUUGUCGCGUCAUUGUCUUUCGUCUCACAUGUCGCCUGCUGGUUUUCCUCCCGGUUCCUGUGUUUUUGACCCUUUUGACUAUUAAAGUCUUUUGUUUCCCGCAAGUCUGCGUCUGAGUCCUGCCUUCCACCCCCAACCCUGACAGAAUGACGCGACCAAAGAAGGGCUCAGCAGACCCGCUGCCAGACUACGGUCCGGACUACCUGGACGUAAGGAGUCCCUUCUGGCAGCGGAAAACAAACUGUGUUUUUGGUCCCAGGAGCUAUCAGCUCGCCUGCCUCGAGCUCCGGGACCUCCUUAACCCUAGGAGGAGCAAGCGGAAGAAGCGAUCUCCCGUUCCCGCUGGGCCGCCGCAGCGAUCUCCCGUUCCCGCUGGGCCGCCGCAGCGAUCUCCCGUUCCCGCUGGGCCGCCGCAGCGAUCUCCCGUUCCCGCUGGGCCGCCGCAGCGAUCUCCCGUUCCCGCUGGGCCGCCGCAGCGAUCUCCCGUUCCCGCUGGGCCGCCCCGACUCUCACCCAUGCCCCCGACCAGUACCGGCCCCACGCUCCAUGCCUCCGACCCGACCAGUACCGGCCCCACGCUCCAUGCCUCCGACCCGACCAGUACCGGCCCCACGCUCCAUGCCCCCGACCCGACCAGUACCGGCCCCACGCUCCAUGCCCCCGACCCGACCAGUACCGGCCCCACGCUCCAUGCCCCCGACGCCCCCAGUCCCCGCUCCGAGACUCAGGCUCCCUCCCUCCCAUCCCAUGGUCCUCUCCCACCCUCCCGUUGGUGAUUUGAGGGCCGUCUGGGAUCCGGCCCUUGAGGGGGGGGCUAUGGGGUGGGUUAUGGGGGGGGCUGAGCCGCCGCAGACUACGGAGUUGUUCCAUGUCCCCGAGCUGGAGCAGACUGGGGAGUUGUUCCGUGUCCCCGAGCUGGAGCAGACUGGGGAGUUGUUCCGUGUCCCCGAGCUGGAGCAGACUGGGGAGUUGUUCCGUGUCCCCGAGCUGGAGCAGACUGGGGAGUUGUUCCGUGUCCCCGAGCUGGAGCAGACAGCGGAGUUGUUCCGUGUCCCCGAGCUGGAGCAGACAGCGGAGUUGUUCCGUGUCCCCGAGCUGGAGCAGACUGCGGAGUUGUUCCGUGUCCCCGAGCUGGAGCAGACUGCGGAGUUGUUCCGUGUCCCCGAGCUGGAGCAGACUGCGGACGUUUCCCGUGUCCCCGAGCUGCCGACGACGACUACUACCCCGGACGUUUCCCGUGUCCCCGAGCUGCCGACGACGACUACUACCCCGGACGUUUCCCGUGUCCCCGAGCUGCCGACGACGACGACUACCCCGGACGUUUCCCGUGUCCCCGAGCUGCCGACGACGACUACUACCCCGGACGUUUCCCGUUUCUCAGAGCCUGCCAUUCCUGAGACGUUCCGUGCCCUGUGGUCACCGCUCCGGAACCGGCGAAAGGACCGCCCGCCGGGCCGACCCCCAGAGGCUCCCCGCUCGUCUGGCCGCCCGCCAGGCCGCCCGCCAGAGUUUCCAGGGUGGUCCGACCAACGUCUCUGGUUUCCCUCCCCACCCACCCCUUGUUCGCUCUAGUGUUGGCCGUCUGGAAUUCGGCCUUUAAGGGGGGGGUACUGUCACGGUGUGGUUCACUUCCUGUCUUAUUUUGUAGUUUUCUGCCACUCGUGUCCCCGGGUAACUUCACUUCCUGCCUUGUCUCGUCAUCCCCUGUGUUCGUCUAAUAGUUUCCACCUGUGUCCAAUCACCUGCACCUCCCUUGUGUAUUUAAGCCGUGUGUCUCUUGUGUCACUUGUCGCGUCAUUGUCUUUCGUCUCACAUGUUGCCUGCUGGUUUUCCUCCCGGUUCCUGUGUUUUUGACUAUUAAAGUCUUUUGUUUCCCGCAAGUCUGCGUCUGAGUCCUGCCUUCCACCCCCAACCCUGACAAAGUGCUGUUAAAUUUAUAAAUAUUUAUCCAGUUACGUGUGUUAACAAUGUUUCAACUCAAUUAUUCAUCCAAAAUGUAUAGAUUUAAGGGAAAUUAAUGUUGAAAUUAAUAUUUGAACAACAGACUUAACAUUAAAUAAUAAUCUAUUCAAAUAAAAUAGUAAAAGUAAAUAAAGAUUCAAUAUAAACAUAAUGCUGGCUUCCUCAUAUUUAAUUGUGUUGUUGAAAGUGUAAAGUGUGAUUACUAAUACUCCUUGUACUCUCUAAUAAAUGGUGUGUUUGAUC
ensembl:lncRNA